rnacentral:rRNA from 1 species
UACGAAGGGUGCAAGCGUUACUCGGAAUUACUGGGCGUAAAGCGUGCGUAGGUGGUGAGUUAAGUCUGUCGUGAAAGCCCCGGGCUCAACCUGGGAAUGGCGAUGGAUACUGGCUCGCUAGAGUGCGGUAGAGGAGAGUGGAAUUCCCGGUGUAGCAGUGAAAUGCGUAGAGAUCGGGAGGAACAUCAGUUGCGGAAGGCGGCUCUCUGGACCAGCACUGACACUGAGGCACGAAAGCGUGGGGAGCCAAACAGG